CUCGAGGGGGGGGGUCCCUCAGCCUGGAUUGCGAGAGGACACAGGCCAGGACGAGGGACCCCACCUGUGCACG
rnacentral:pre_miRNA from 1 species